AUACGGAGGGAGCAAGCGUUAUUCGGAAUCACUGGGCGUAAAGGACGCGUAGGCGGGUUUGUAAGUCAGGUGUGAAAUCCUACAGCUCAACUGUAGAACUGCACUUGAAACUACAGACCUAGAGUAUGGAAGGGGCAGAUGGAAUUAGUGGUGUAGGGGUAAAAUCCGUAGAUAUCACUAGGAAUACCGAAAGCGAAGGCGAUCUGCUGGGACAUUACUGACGCUGAGGCGUGAAAGCGUGAGGAGCAAACAGGAUUAGAAACCCCGGUAGUCC
rnacentral:rRNA from 1 species